UAAUACGGAGGGUGCAAGCGUUAUCCGGAUUUAUUGGGUUUAAAGGGUACGUAGGCGGAAAAUUAAGUCAGUAGUGAAAUCCUGCAGCUUAACUGCAGAACUGUCAUUGAUACUGGUUUUCUUGAAUGUAGUUGAGGUAGGCGGAAUGUGUAAUGUAGCGGUGAAAUGCUUAGAUAUUACACAGAACACCGAUUGCGAAGGCAGCUUACUAAGCUACGAUUGACGCUGAGGUACGAAAGCGUGGGGAGCGAACAGGAUUAGAUACCCUGGUAGUCCACGCCGUAAACGAUGAUCACUCGUUGUUGGCAAUACAUCGUCAGCGACUAAGCGAAAGCAUUAAGUGAUCCACCUGGGGAGUACGAUCGCAAGAUUG
rnacentral:rRNA from 1 species